rnacentral:rRNA from 2 species
GAAGCAUGCUGCUGCUAUACAUGCAAGUCGAGCGAAUGGAUUAAGAGCUUGCUCUUAUGAAGUUAGCGGCGGACGGGUGAGUAACACGUGGGUAACCUGCCCAUAAGACUGGGAUAACUCCGGGAAACCGGGGCUAAUACCGGAUAACAUUUUGAACCGCAUGGUUCGAAAUUGAAAGGCGGCUUCGGCUGUCACUUAUGGAUGGACCCGCGUCGCAUUAGCUAGUUGGUGAGGUAACGGCUCACCAAGGCAACGAUGCGUAGCCGACCUGAGAGGGUGAUCGGCCACACUGGGACUGAGACACGGCCCAGACUCCUACGGGAGGCAGCAGUAGGGAAUCUUCCGCAAUGGACGAAAGUCUGACGGAGCAACGCCGCGUGAGUGAUGAAGGCUUUCGGGUCGUAAAACUCUGUUGUUAGGGAAGAACAAGUGCUAGUUGAAUAAGCUGGCACCUUGACGGUACCUAACCAGAAAGCCACGGCUAACUACGUGCCAGCAGCCGCGGUAAUACGUAGGUGGCAAGCGUUAUCCGGAAUUAUUGGGCGUAAAGCGCGCGCAGG